rnacentral:rRNA from 1 species
GACGAACGCUGGCGGCGUGCUUAACACAUGCAAGUCGAGCGAGAAAAGUUCUUCGGAGCUUUUCUAGCGGCGGACGGGUGAGUAACACGUGGGCAACCUGCCUGAUAGAGGGGGAUAGCCUUCCGAAAGGAAGCUUACUACCGCAUAACAUCAUUUUAAGGCAUCUUAGAAUGAUCAAAGGAGCAAUCCGCUAUCAGAGGGGACCGCGUCCCAUUAGCUAGUUGGUGAGGUAACGGCUCACCAAGGCCACGAUGGGUAGCCGACCUGAGAGGGUGAUCGGCCACAUUGGGACUGAGACACGGCCCAGACUCCUACGGGAGGCAGCAGUGGGGAAUAUUGCACAAUGGGGGAAACCCUGAUGCAGCAACGCCGCGUGAGUGAUGAAGGCCUUCGGGUUGUAAAGCUCUGUCUUCAGGGACGAUAAUGACGGUACCUGAGGAGGAAGCCACGGCUAACUACGUGCCAGCAGCCGCGGUAAAAC